UUGAUCAGGUAGGGCGGCAUUAUCCCUUUGCUGUCGUUAAAGAGGUGACUCAAACUCCAAUUCAGGUUUGGUCCGAAUCCGAGUGGUCAGA
rnacentral:tRNA from 1 species